rnacentral:rRNA from 1 species
UACGAAGGUCCCAAGCGUUGUUCGGAAUCACUGGGCGUAAAGCGCACGUAGGCGGAUUGCUAAGUCAGGGGUGAAAUCCUGGAGCUCAACUCCAGAACUGCCUUUGAUACUGGCGACCUUGAGUCCGGGAGAGGUGAGUGGAACUGCGAGUGUAGAGGUGAAAUUCGUAGAUAUUCGCAAGAACACCAGUGGCGAAGGCGGCUCACUGGCCCGGUACUGACGCUGAGGUGCGAAAGCGUGGGGAGCAAACAGG